rnacentral:rRNA from 1 species
CGCUGGCGGCGUGCUUCAUACAUGCAAGUCGAACGAGAAUCUCUAGCUUGCUAGAGAGGAAAGUGGCGGACGGGUGAGUAAUGUGUAGAGAAUCUGCCCUUUAGAGGGGGACAACAGUUGGAAACGACUGCUAAUACCCCAUAUGAGCGUACCUGAAAUGGUAUUCUUGAAAACUCCGGUGCUAAAGGAUGAGUCUGCACCUGAUUAGCUAGUAGGCGGUGUAAUGGACCACCUAGGCGACGAUCAGUAGCUGGUUUGAGAGGAUGAUCAGCCACAAUGGGACUGAGACACGGCCCAUACUCCUACGGGAGGCAGCAGUAGGGAAUUUUGCGCAAUGGGGGAAACCCUGACGCCAGCAACGCCGCGUGAAUGAAGAAGCCCUUCGGGGUGUAAAGUUCUGUCAGUGGGGACGAAACUUGACGGUACCCACAGAGGAAGCAUCGGCUAACUCCGUGCCAGCCGCAGC